CCACCGCCCCGCGACGCCAACCCUAGCCGCCCCUUUUCCCCUACCUUCUCCCAGAUCUGGAGUUCGCUACCUGAAUCCCAUGCGUGGUAGGUUUUCUUGUAGGUUUCGGGAUCCAAUCCGUCGCUCCGACGCCGCAACGGUGAGGUUUUCCUCUGAUUUAUAAGGGGGGGAACACGCGCCGUUUGCCUUUUUUUGUGUUCUUACGCAGGUUCAGAGCGAUCUAUCUUGGAUGGAUGGGCGUGUUCGGCUCUCGGCUCGUGGAAACCAUGGAUCGAGGCGCGGAGCGGUAUGGAUCUGGCGGGAAGCUGCUCGUCCUCGCAUUUGGGGUGCUGGAUCUGAGACUGAUCGGACAUGACGAGGCCUUUCCGGGAUGCUCCGUGCGAGUCAACGCGGCAAAACCGGCGGGGUGAGGGCGAAGGCCGGUCAUCGGGAUCCCCUUCAACGCGACCUCGCCCGAUGAUGUCUCUCUGUAUUGAUAAUUAUUGGAUGAAAUUUCGAUAAUUAUUAGAUCUAAGAGAUUUGUUGUUCGAUGGAGCCGAGCCGUGCCGAGAUGAAGGCGGCAAGGUAAGAUGAAAGGUGAAGCUGUAACAAGCGAGGUGCUUGUGUCUGAGGGGGUCAAAAAGAGUAAAAAAAGAGAGAUGUGACAUCGCAAGAUUGGCCUUUGCCAUGUUGGGUGCGCUCGCAUGGCAGGCCACCGUAAUAAAGAUGUUCUUUUGUGUCCCGGGGGGAGUUCGCACGGGGGUUAUUCUGUUUAGCCCCGGGUUCUCCCCCCCAUCUGGUGUCCCCUGUGUUGGUUAUCUCAGACUCCACUGCGACCACAACUUUCAGCAACGAUCGCGCGCGAAUCUAACGUGGAGCUACAGCGCAAGAACCAAGACUUUGUAGCUAUAUCUGAACUAUGUAGAUGAAGAAUCCGGUGAUUUGGUUUCAGUGAAGACAGGAGUAUCCCGACAAAUCAAGUUGGUUGAGCUGAUUGAUUCCUCUGAAAUCUUGCAUCUGAAGACGAGAGGAUUGUUCCCUGCUUUGAAGCUGUGUGUGACAUAUUCGGUACAUUGUGCAGUUGCUAUCACCUUACCAAUUGAGGUGCUAAUCAAGUUUGAUUAGUUUAAUACUAGUCACUAUUGAGCUAUUUACCUGUAGCAUAUGGUUUGGUCACUAAUUGGAAAUCAUGAAAUUCUAUUUGGUGAUUUGGUGAUAAUAAUCACGACGUCAUGUAUAAGUUAAAUUUCUACCGUGAAAUUAACUAAUGUCUGCUUUGGAGGUUC